GACGAACGCUGGCGGCGUGCUUAACACAUGCAAGUCGAACGGAAAGGCCCUGCUUUUGUGGGGUGCUCGAGUGGCGAACGGGUGAGUAACACGUGAGUAACCUGCCCUUGACUUUGGGAUAACUUCAGGAAACUGGGGCUAAUACCGGAUAGGAGCUCCUGCUGCACGGUGGGGGUUGGAAAGUUUCGGCGGUUGGGGAUGGACUCGCGGCUUAUCAGCUUGUUGGUGGGGUAGUGGCUUACCAAGGCUUUGACGGGUAGCCGGCCUGAGAGGGUGACCGGCGACAUUGGGACUGAGAUACGGCCCAGACUGCUACGGGAGGCAGCAGUGGGGAAUAUUGCACAAUGGGCGGAAGCCUGAUGCAGCAACGCCGCGUGCGGGAUGACGGCCUUCGGGUUGUAAACCGCUUUCGCCUGUGACGAAGCGUGAGUGACGGUAAUGGGUAAAGAAGCACCGGCUAACUACGUG
rnacentral:rRNA from 1 species